AAGAGAUUUGAAGUCGGUUUGGAGGGGAGGAAGAUGACCAAUCAUCUAGUUUAUUUCUUAUUUUCUAUUUUUUUUGUAUUUUUAUGUAAUUUUAAUUAUUUUUAAUAAUUAUGUGGUCAUAUUUUAUAUUAACAUUGCCUAAUUUUUAUUUUUAUAUUCAUUCGAUAAGUGUGAUUUCAAUUAUUAUUGAUUUUAGAAGUAUUGUGAGUGGAAGCCAAAAUAGGUUGAAAUUCAGCUGAAGCCAAUCAUUGCAAGCCACAUCAUUUAAUGAAAAAACCGGAGCCGUAAA
rnacentral:lncRNA from 1 species